AUCAUUAAAUAAUUAAAUCAACUCAAAUUACCUCUGAUAAUUAUUAAAAUGCAAUGAUGAUGGUAACACAUAUUUUAUGGUUAAAUUUACGAAAUAUGUGAAUUAAAAUAAUGAUAAGUGCUGUGAAUAAAAGGUUAAUUUAUGCAUUAUUUAGCACUUAUCACACCCCCCAACCUACAUUUUGCUAGUCCUCGAGCAAAAUAAAAAAAAAAACUAACUCACUUUCGCAGGAAUCGCGAUUGCAUUUACCGUAUGCAAUAAGGCUUUAAACCCCUAGGUGGCCCUAGUGGACGAGUUUUGUCUCGUGAGGAUUUUCGGCUCAGAUACCCACAAACUGUUGUCUCUACUCAAAGAGUUUAUUGUUUUAUAAAAUCUAAUUUCAAAUGCAUAAAUGCCAAGAAUUUCAAAAGCACACAAAGUUUUAUUACUAAGUCAGCCCAAAUCCUAGGUCAAGAUGCAAUUCAAGUUGAGGUCAUUAAGUUUCCGUUAGAGAGUUGUAAGACUUUUUAUACUUGGGUGCUCGGUGAAAUCUGGACCAUACACAAGCUAAGACUUUA
rnacentral:lncRNA from 1 species